UAAUUUGUUUUGAACAAAUCCACAUCUACGUAUGACAUACUCAUAUUUAACUGCUCAAAAUCAUCUGUUAUCGUAAAACUGACUACUUCAUUGACACUCAUAAAACAUAUUCGGAAGAAAAAGUUUAUAAAAUCAUGGU
rfam:Populus trichocarpa scaffold_8_contig_114, whole genome shotgun sequence.